rnacentral:sRNA from 1 species
UUUUAGCCCUGAUAGUAGCGACAUCCUUUUUCUGGCUUCUUUAGCCAGGAAAAGAUAUAGCGGAUAGCAGGAUUAGCU